ACCUGGGUGGCUCAGUCGGUUAAGCGGCUGACUUCGGCUCAGGUCAUGAUCUCAUGGUUUGUGGGUUCAAGUCCCACAUCAGGCU
rnacentral:tRNA from 1 species